AUGGCUUUCUGUAUAGGCAAAGGUAGUGGACUACUGGCUAGGCACUCAGAUGCACACUACAGUAGUCCAGUCCUUGAUGCUAAACUUGGUAGAUGCAUUUUGCAACCAUCCGGGGACCAGGAUUUAUGGACAUUGCACAUGAUGGUCCAGGACAUUGCAGAAGUUCACUUCAUUGCUUUUGGCUGUGUACUUUGCACUUACAGCUGCAGCUGCAUGUCAGGUGUUUGUUGGUUUAACAGUGCUUUGAUUGCUUCAGAUCUGGAGGGUUGCUGGGAAGUUCCAUAUCUCAUUGUCCACCCAUGGUCUGUAUGGUUUCUAGCAUAG
rnacentral:rRNA from 1 species